GCCUGUUCGGGCCCCUUGAGGCUCAUCUGCACCCAACAACAGCCACCUCCUCUACACUUGUGACCACUCAAAGGCCAGAAGGGUCUAAAGGGGAUCAGAAGCACUAGAGAGAACUUCGGGGAGAUCUGGAGCCUUGUAGCCACAGGCUUGAGUCCUUUCUGGAAGUCCUCUUUGGUAACUUUGCCUCAGCAAAGAUUUGUGCACCCAUGAGACUUAAAGCCCUCCAUUGGAACCUUCUAGCUUCAGGGUCAAGUUUAACCUUAUCUGGCUUCAAAUUCACA